rfam:Schistosoma mansoni strain Puerto Rico chromosome 2, complete genome
UAGUUGCCGAAGAGUCCCACAAUAGGACGAAACGGCCGUCUAGGGG